rnacentral:lncRNA from 1 species
AAAAUCCAUUUUCUUUAUGUUAUCUUUUUUUUAAUUGAAGUAGAGUUGACAUACAAUGUUUGUGUUAGUUUCAGGUGAUUGGACAACUGCUUGGACAGUGUUUGGAUAGAGCACAGUGAUUGGACAAAUCUAUACGUUACUCAAUGCUUACCAUGUUUCACCUCAGAUGCCGCCUCUUAGAUCUUGGAAUCGAGCUCCAAGCAGAUGAUAAAGAAGCUGACAUUUCCCUCUCACAACCCAGAUCAGCUCCUAGGCCAGGUUCCUAAGACUUCUGCUGAUGAGUAGGAGAGCUGCACAAUUAUUGAAGUACAUCCACUCUAAUGAGUCAGCACUGUCUGCCUGACAACAGCUGCAAGAGCUGAAGACAUGGCUUUGCAAACCCAAAAGGAGG